GACCAGACUCCUACGGGAGGCAGCAGUGGGGAAUAUUGCACAAUGGGGGAAACCCUGAUGCAGCGACGCCGCGUGAGUGAAGAAGUAUUUCGGUAUGUAGAGCUCUAUCAGCAGGGAAGAAAAUGACGGUACCUGACUAAGAAGCCCCGGCUAACUACGUGCCAGCAGCCGCGGUAAUACGUAGGGGGCAAGCGUUAUCCGGAUUUACUGGGUGUAAAGGGAGCGUAGACGGCAUGGCAAGUCAGAUGUGAAAGCCCGGGGCUCAACCCCGGGACUGCAUUUGAAACUGUCAGGCUGGAGUGCAGGAGAGGUAAGUGGAAUUCCUAGUGUAGCGGUGAAAUGCGUAGAUAUUAGGAGGAACACCAGUGGCGAAGGCGGCUUACUGGACUGUAACUGACGUUGAGGCUCGAAAGCGUGGGGAGCAAACAGGAUUAGAUACCCCGGUAAC
rnacentral:rRNA from 1 species